rnacentral:piRNA from 1 species
GAAAUUAUAUAGACAGCAGGCUGAGGC